CCUCGUAUCUCCUCAUUCCCGACAUGUCCUGGGCUCCGAACGUCUCCUGGGGAGCGGCAUGAUUGAAUCAGGGAUUCCCUAGCCCCAGGUCCCCUUCUCCGUCAUUCUCAGGACGAGGCUGCCCAGUUCUCAGCCUGCAGACGGCCUAUUGUGGGACCUUGUGAUCGUGUUGUUGUGGUGGUAUUACUACUACUCAGCAAGAUUCUGGUUUUACUUCUCAUCUUGGGAGUUACCAUCAAGACGUUAGGUAUGGCUGUGUGACCCACUUUGGCCAAUGAAAUGUGAACAGAAAUGGCAUAUGUCACUUGUGGACAAAAACAUUUAAGCAAGAAUUUCCCUUGCUGUCUUCCUUGACUGGAGCGACCAUGGAAGCCUGUGUUGAGAUGAAGAGGCUGCCAACAGAUCAAAACACUUGAAAACUUGAGCAGCCACAUGGACUACAACUGUGCUGGAGACUUGCCUGGACCCACAGCAGGCUUGGUAUGCAUGGGGAAUAGAAUUUUGUUGUAUUACACUCCUCAGAUUUGGAUGUCAUUUGUUAUUACAGCAUUACCUAGCCUAUUCUGACCAAUCAGGUGUGUUGGUGGUGGUUACCAGGUGUUAGAAAAUAGAGAUGUAAGAUUACAGUAAAACUGGAGGGGGAAAACAUGUCACCCCAAUAUCUUGGAUUUAGAAGCAGAUGUUGCUAUGGAAUGAAUUGUGUCCCCCCCCAAAUUCGUAUGUUUAGUCCUAACCCUAAAUGUGACUGUAUCUGAAGAUGGGGUCUUUAGGAGGUAAUUAAAGUUAAAUGAGGCCGGGUGUGGUGGCUCACACCUGUAAUCCCAGCCCUCUGGGAGACCGAGGUGGGUGGAUCACCUGAGGUCAGGAGUUCGAGACCAGCUUGGCCAACAUGGUGAAGCCCUGUCUCUACUAAAAAUAGAAAAAGUAGCUGGGUGUGGUGGUGUGUACCUGUAGUCCCAGCUACUUGGGAGGCUGAGGCAGGAGAAGUGCUUGAACCCAGGAGUUGGAGAUUGCAUUGAGCCAAGAUCAUGCCACUGUACUCCAGCCUGGGUGACAGAGUGAGACUCCAUCUCAAAAA
rnacentral:lncRNA from 1 species